ACAACCUUAUUUGAACAGGAUCUGUUCCAUAGGCUCGUACCUCUGUAUCCUUGAGUUUUAGGAGACAGGAACCUAAGUCUGGUUGACGAAACAGGACAGCACGAUCAGUGCUUGAUUAAUGGUUUACCACAUAUGAUGUAGAUUAAUGUGGCUGUAGAUGAUCGUCCUCAGCCUGGCUUUGGCCUGCUGUGAUGAUCGUGCUGUUGUCUGACAGACU